ACGGGUGAGUAACGCGUGGGAAUCUACCGUACCCUACGGAAUAGCUCCGGGAAACUGGAAGUAAUACCGUAUACGCCCGAAAGGGGAAAGAUUUAUCGGGGUAUGAUGAGCCCGCGUUGGAUUAGCUAGUUGGUGGGGUAAAGGCCUACCAAGGCGACGAUCCAUAGCUGGUCUGAGAGGAUGAUCAGCCACAUUGGGACUGAGACACGGCCCAAACUCCUACGGGAGGCAGCAGUGGGGAAUAUUGGACAAUGGGCGCAAGCCUGAUCCAGCCAUGCCGCGUGAGUGAUGAAGGUCUUAGGAUUGUAAAGCUCUUUCACCGAUGAAGAUAAUGACGGUAGUCGGAGAAGAAGCCCCGGCAAACUUCGUGCCAGCAGCCGCGGUAAUACGAAGGGGGCUAGCGUUGUUCGGAAUUACUGGGCGUAAAGCGCACGUAGGCGGAUAAUUAAGUCAGGGGUGAAAUCCCGCAGCUCAACUGCGGAACUGCCCUUGAUACUGGUUAUCUUGAGUAUGGAAGGGGUAAGUGGAAUUGCGAGUGUAGAGGUGAAAUUCGUAGA
rnacentral:rRNA from 1 species